rnacentral:lncRNA from 1 species
AUGGGAGGGCAAGGGGAUAAAGUCGUUCCUUUACCCUUUUUGGUUAUAAUCUUCACAUCCCUGAAUGGCUACAGCCCAGCUCAACUUCUUUCAAAUAUUUACUUGACAGACAAUGAAAAGAUAUUAUCGGACUAUGGGACAACUUUUGUUACAGCAUGGAAGAAUACUCACAACUACAGGGUGUGGAACAGCAACAAGCAUCCAGCACUUGCAGAAAUAAAUCCAAACCAUCCAUUUCAAGGCCAAUACUCAGUAUCAGACAUGAAGUUAAGGUUCUCACAUUCUGUUCAGAAUAGUGAACGUGGCAAAAAAAUUGGAAACGUCAUGGUCACAACUAGCAGGAAUGUUGUACAAACAGGAAAAGCUGUUGGCCAGUCAGUUGGAGGAGCUUUUUCCAGUGCAAAGACAGCUAUGUCUUCAUGGCUUUCCACUUUCACCACUUCCACCUCCCAAAGUCUCACUGAGCCACCGGAUGGGAAGCCUUGAGCAAGGAUACCUGGGAUGGCCGUUCUCAGAGAGUACUUACGGGGAACAGACUGCCUUUUAGUAACAAAGGAUACUUGGGAAAUACAUU